rnacentral:misc_RNA from 1 species
UUGCACCAGAACAUCCUCCUCCCUUUUUCCUUUGUACGCCGCCUGCGCCUGUUUUCACGAUCAACUCUACCGGCGCGUACGAUUCGCUCUCCUAGACUGAAGUGCCAGUUUUCAUCUCCCGAGCCACCUCGUAGCUACAGUGCCUUUGAAAUCGCAAGCACACAACGCUAAUUCGUCUCUUUCUCUUUUUUUUUUUGACGCCCACGCCUCGCCGACAUCUUGUCCUCUUUCUCUUCCUCACAGCCUCCCUGAGCGCGCACCUGAGAGCGGCAAGUAGAGAAAGGAGCACAGAUACGGCACCAUGGCCUCGAAGCUCAUCCGUGUGCUGGCGGCCGCCCUGCUGGUUGCAGCGGCCGUGUCGGUCGACGCGCGCCUUGUCGUGCGCAUGGUGCAGGUGGUACACCGGCACGGUGCGCGCAGUGCCCUCAUCAACGACAACACGACGGAGAUUUGCGGCACCCUGUACCCGUGCGGUGAGCUAACCGGCGAGGGCGUCGAGAUGGUCCGUGCUAUCGGCGAGUUUGCCCGCAGCCGCUACAACGACCUCUCAUUGGUGGAGAGCCCUCUCUUCCCGUCGACGCAGUACAACUCCUCUCUCGUGUACACCCGCUCCACCCACACCCAGCGCACCAUCCAGAGCGCGACCGCCUUUCUGCGCGGCCUCUUCCAGGACGACUACUUCUACCCGGUCGUGUACUCGCGCAACAGAACGACCGACAUGCUGCUCAGCACCGACGCGGUGCCGUCCGUGAUGGGCCGUAGCUGGCUGGACAACCCGGCGCUGUACGCCGCCCUCAACCCGGUGAUAGAUGAGCACCUCAGCUGGGACGCCAUCCAGAGCGCCGCCAAGGACGCGUGGAUCGAGGGCCUGUGCACGGACUUCAACGCCCGCACCAGCUGCGUCCUCGACAUGUACGACGUGGCCGCCGCCUUCGAGGCUGCCGGGCGUCUUGACAACGCCACCAAUCUCAAGGCGGUGUAUCCGGGCCUUAUGGAGGUGAACGCCGCCUGGUUCAAGUAUGUCUUCAGCUGGAACCACACGAGCAAGCUCGAUCUCACGCAGGGUUCCGCCUCGCAGAACCUUGCGCAGACAAUGCUGGCCAACAUCAACGCCCACCGCCUCUCUCCGUCGUACAACAUGUUCGAGUACAGCGCUCACGACACAACGGUGGUUCCCUUGGCUGUCACAUUCGGUGACCAGGGCAACACGACGAUGCGCCCUCCCUUCGCCGUUACCAUCUUCGUGGAGCUGCUCCAGGACACCGCGGAUGCCAGUGGCUGGUACGUGCGCCUCAUCCGCGGCAACCCCGUGAAGAUAGCCAACGGCACCUACGUCUUCCGGCAGACCGGCAUCGAGGCGCACUGCAUCGACGCAGCCGGCAUCAGGUACCGCGCAUCCGCCGGCAUCUGCCCGCUGGAUGACUUCCGCCGCAUGGUCGACUACUCGCGCCCCGCCGUGGCUGAAGGUCACUGCGCCAUGACGCAGGCUCAGUACAGCAACAUGGGCUGCCCGCGCACCAUCGCCGACAACAAGCCGGUACCGUCGAGGUGCUGGAUCUACCGCUAUGCUUGCCCUAGCAAGGCAUGCCCGGUCACCUACAUCCUCUCCGCGGCCGAUCACCAGUGCUACCCCGGGGCCGGCAUUCCGAACUCCAGCAGCAGCAGCGACGUUACCACCGCCAGCAGCAGCGAGGGCAUCACCGCCAGCAGCAGCGAGGGCACCACCGCCAGCAGCAGCGAGGGCACCACCGCCAGCAGCAGUGACGUGACCACCGCCAGCAGCAGCGAGGGCACCACCACCAGCAGCAGCGAGGGCACCACCGCCAGCAGCAGCGAGGGCACCACCGCCAGCAGCAGCGACGUGACCACCGCCAGCAGCAGCGAGGGCACCACCGCCAGCAGCAGCGAGGGCACCACCACCAGCAGCAGCGAGGGCACCACCACCAGCAGCAGCGAGGGCACCACCACCAGCAGCAGCGAGGGAACGAGUUCAUCGGAUGUCUCUUCCUUCAAAGAGCCUGCAAGCUGGAUGCCGCACGUUUUCUCGCCGAAAAAGGGCCGCCGCAUCGCCGCGGAUAUCCUCCGCGGCGUGCCGAACGGCUUUACGGUCGGCGCGGUCGUCCGAAAGCACGAUGAGUAUUACAGCAGGCACCGUCAAUAGUAUAAUGGCAUGUACCUCUUGAGAGCAUGUUUGAAUGGAGAGGAACCUUCUGUGCAGCGUGCCUUGCUUCCAGAAGGUAUCAUAUCCGUUCGUGUCGCCCCGUCUUCUUUUCAUCUUGAUCUCUGCUCUCUCAUAAUGCCUGUGUGCGCUCUGUGUGUACGCGUGUCGCUGUAAAGCCGUCGACGCCAUCGUUCUUACCUUCUGGAUCACUUUUUUCUUUAUUACCACUCCCUUCUCCGCGCGUCCCUCCGCAGUAGAUGUACGACAAAAAAUGGAUCAAUAAAUAAAUAUCCAUGUGUAUGAAUUUCUCUCUGCGCACAUAUAUACGCACACGCACACACGCACGCACAUACGUGCAUACACGUCCCUAGCGCAGAGGAGAUGCGCUACCAAAGACAGCCAUGCAUGUUUCUGUGCACCGUACAUACAUGUAUAUAUAUAUAUAUAUAUGUAAAACAAGAAAAAAAAACAGAAAAAUGAAAAAGUUUUCUUUUUUCGCUCUUUUUUCUGUUUUUUCCUCUUUAUCUUUUUUCUUAUAUGUGUGCUUGUGUAUGGUGGCGAGGGACGAAAAGAGUAAAACACAAACGGGAACGUCGCUUACAAUGGAUGUGCGUGCUCGCCAAGAUUCUGUUUAUGUUCUGUUGUUUGCAUAUGUUCUGUGUGCGGGAGGAUGUGGGGUUGCGUCAUGUCCACACGUCUAUUCCCGUCGAUUCACAUUGUGAUGUCCUUUCUCUCCAUUUUUUUUGAUUGUGGUGCGGUGUUAUUGUAGUCGCAGUUUUCACAUGCGCACGUACAUGUAUACGAUUUGGGAGUAUGCGUAAGUCUUUUCAUGUUGCGUGCAGAAUUUCUGCAUGGCAUUUUCUGUUUAUCAGCAUUGGUCAUCUCUGCAGAGCACAGAGCUCGUCGUCUCUGUAGUUGUGCAUCUGAUGGUUUGGUCUCUGUGAUGCUGACCUCAUUUUUUUAUUCUUUUGCUCUGUGUUUUAUUUGUGCUCCCCGUCACCAGUGUCUCUCGUUUACGUCCGUCUUCGGCCCUUGCGAAGUGGAACGCAAGGGCGAAUCCGGCAGGCUUGCCGAAUUGGCAAUGCCAGAGGAGCCGCCGCCAACUGCAUGCAUCACGGACCUGGUCGCCGGUCUCAGACGCCACGCCGACAUGCCGCGAAACCCCGCUACACGAUGUGACACGCGACGACAAGUGCUCCUUGGCGGCAGCCGUCCCACACCAGAAGAGCCAGGAUGGCGAGCUCACACGGCGGCAGAAGAUGGCCCUCGCCCAGCCCCGCAGAGGCACCUCUCCGCACCUGGGAUUCCUGCAAUGGCAGGUGGCCGGCGGUGGCAUCACGGCGUGCAGACAGUGUGAUGCCGGCUACGCCGCUAGAACUGUAGCACCUCCGCCCCUCCACCCCCCCCAAACACCCCACCCCUCACCUGCCGUUUGCUAUGAGGGCGUCCGACCGGGCGUUGCGCCGGGUGUGCUACGCGCGAUUUGACGACAGCUCGAGGCUCAGAGCACACCUCAUUUCACGCCAUGGUCUUGCACGCAGCGACCAGAGUACGCACAUCUCCCUCGCACCGCAUGUGGCUCCUCCGUCGGGUGUCCAUCGCUGCACCCCUAUGCCCCUCUACAGGCUGGCACGCUAUGGGCCCUUUUGUGCGCUGGCACACGUCUCUGCGCGGGCCCCUUCCGCUUGACACGCCCGCGCCUGUCAGAGGCGUGCGGACUCAGGAGAGGGUGGAAUGCCCCUGCUGCCACAGACUCAUGGCGGCGUCCCACCUGUCGCGGCGCAUGCGGGCAAGCCAUGCAGACACGCCUCCCCCACCCCCCUCGGCGGCAUCCACGGACGUGGGGGGUGAAGACAGCGAGCCCGCCAGACAGCACUGCUGUCCUGCAACGGACCCCGAGGCCCACUGGUGCGGGCACUGUGCGCACGCGCAUGCCGAGCACCGCUGGCAUGUGGUGUGCCGCAUCCAACCGAGACACGCGGCCGCCAGGAGGGCGCGAGUGAUGAGCGAGAAAGGCGCGAAGGCAUCCACACCGAGGAGCACCACGGUGCACGUGCACGCGCUGUGCGGCACCUCCUUCAUCCGACCAGGUGGGCUGAUGAGGCGCACAUGCCGGCAGCAUCACGAGAGCACCCUCGAGUCCUGCAGGCGCCGGGGUGGAGAGCGGCCGCACCACAUUGCGGAAUGCCACGGCUCGAGGCCCCUCAGGGCGAGGCAUGGCAUACAGGCAGGGUGUGCAGGGUCUCAGAGGGAGCCUGGCCUGAGGCUGGCCAACCUCCUGCCUACCCCGACCCUCCGGUGAAGGAAAAAAGGGCCUUCAGCUGUGGUUCGGUGCACGCUUUCUCUUUAAUCUUUAGUGGAAGCGCGCCGGUGUUGAGUUGUACGGCAGUGUUCGUGUGCCAAGCAAUCUCUAUUUUUUUCACCUAUUAGUGGGUCUACGGGCUUCUUUGUGCUUUCGUGGCCUCCUCGAACGUUUCGUUUCUAUAUUUUUUUUUCGUUCUUACUGAUGUACCUCGACGGGUCGCUUCUCGCUCUGCGUGUAAUAUAUACAUUUACAUGCAUGCGCUCGUAGUGUCGUGUGGUCUGCCGAUGAAGUAGAUUGUACAGAAGGGAACAGGGAGAGAAGGAGGCUACAGUGCACCGCACAGUAGAACUCCAUCGGCGCGCAUCAUUGCUCAAGGCGCAUCCGUGGAAACAAGCAAACAAAAAGAAACAACUCUUUAAAGACCUAGUUGAAGCGGCUCACAUUUAUCUUCAGUUCCUGCCGCUGUUUCUUCUGAUGCACCACGCUUCCCCACCGACCCUCCUCGUUGCGCCCUACCUCGUCCUCUCCCCAG